UCGGACGUGGUGUCUGGUGCACGCCCGUUUAUAUUAGCCUGAAAACUUACAAAUAAAGCGGGAAGCCUGGGUUCUCCUCCCAGCGUCCGAA